CGGAGGCGGCUUCCUACGCCGGUAUAGUAAACUGGCGCCUCCGCGUCGCGUAUUGAGGGCACUAACUAUUGCCUGAUCAAAGGCCUCCUUGAGGUCGUGUUGCGUCAACGCAGACGUCUCUACGUAAUUGACGGCGCCUAGUCUGUGCGCCAAUUGAUGGCCUUGGAUAGUGGUGAUUGGUGCCUGACCGUAUCUUGCCAGCUGUAGCAUUAGACAACUAGAAAAAGUUAAAGAAUAAGUCAAAACGAGAUCAAAAUUAAUCUACAUUGACGAACAUGGAUAUUAUAGUGUUAGAAGAAUAAUAUCCUAUUGAGAAAUUAUAUUAGAGCUGGAUACAGAUCGUACCAAAAUGAUUGGAGCAUUGGGACAAUAUUUUCGCACUUCAUUGAUCCAUCUGGAAGCCACACUGUUGUAAGACGCGGGACACACCACGCUGAAGCAAACAAGGAACACAUCUGUCUCAGGGUAGCACAAUGAUCUCAGUGGGUCAAAGUCAUCCUGGCCUGCGGUGUCACACAGCUGGACAUUCAGUGGUUGUCCGUCGACAUUUACAACCACUAGAUACAAACAUUGUUAAAUUGAUUUAAUAUUAAUAUAUUUUUAUCUACUUGCUCAGAAUAAACUGGUUUCAAGAUUACAAUUAAAUAGAUUACAAUUAAAAGAUCAAUUCAGAUAGAAAUAAAAGUAAAUAAAUAUGUUACAAUGUU